rnacentral:rRNA from 1 species
UCCGGUUGAUCCUGCCGGAGGCCACUGCUAUGGGGGUCCGACUAAGCCAUGCGAGUCAUGGGGCCCGUCUGCGGGCACCGGCGGACGGCUCAGUAACACGUCGGUAACCUACCCUCGGGAGGGGGAUAACCCCGGGAAACUGGGGCUAAUCCCCCAUAGGCCUGGGGUACUGGAAGGUCCCCAGGCCGAAAGGGGCUUCAGCCCGCCCGAGGAUGGGCCGGCGGCCGAUUAGGUAGUUGGUGGGGUAACGGCCCACCAAGCCGAAGAUCGGUACGGGCCAUGAGAGUGGGAGCCCGGAGAUGGACACUGAGACACGGGUCCAGGCCCUACGGGGCGCAGCAGGCGCGAAACCUCCGCGAUGCGGGCAACCGCGACGGGGGGACCCCCAGUGCCGUGGCAAAGCCACGGCUUUUCCGGAGUGUAAAAAGCUCCGGGAAUAAGGGCUGGGCAAGGCCGGUGGCAGCCGCCGCGGUAAUACCGGCGGCCCGAGUGGUGGCCGCUAUUAUUGGGCCUAAAGCGUCCGUAGCCGGGCCCGUAGGUCCCUGGCGAAAUCCCACGGCUCAACCGUGGGGCUUGCUGGGGAUACUGCGGGCCUUGGGACCGGGAGAGGCGGGGGGUACCCCUGGGGUAGGGGUGAAAUCCUAUAAUCCCAGGGGGACCGCCUAGUGGCGAAGGCGCCCCGCUGGAACGGGUCCGACGGUGAGGGACGAAGGCCAGGGGAGCGAACCGGAUUAGAAACCCGGGUAGUCCUGGCUGCUAAACGAUGCGGGCUAGGUGUCACCGGAGCAUCGAGCUCCGGUGGUGCCGGAGGGAAGCCGUUAAGCCCGCCGCCUGGGGAGUACGGCCGCAAGGCUGAAACUUAAAGGAAUUGGCGGG